AACGACUCUUUCACAAGCUUUCUUUAUGUUAGAUAACACAGAUGUGUCUACACCACAAAACAGAGUUUGACGGAGAAAGCAGUGCUGAGCAAGAACUGACUUUAUGUAAAGCAUUUCAGAGCUGGAGGAGCAUUGUGCUGUAUUGAUAACUCCCUUGAGAAGGCUUCAGUGUAAGCCCAGGGGGUGUGGUGAUCUGAAAUAUGGAGAGACACAGAGAUCCCCUUUGUGAGGACAUCACGAAGGGGAGCAGCAUUGUGUGGGCAUGACAUGGAAAUGCUACAAGUUCUGAUAUCCUCGUAGCUCCUGAAGACCAUUGCAAGUACACCGAUUUUGUUAUCUCUAUCAAGAAAAGUAGAUAAUAAUUUUUAAAAAGAUAAGGCAAAUCCUCAUUUUAUUAGACAGAUGAAGAGUGCUUUGUAUUUAUG
rnacentral:lncRNA from 1 species